rnacentral:lncRNA from 1 species
GCGGUGAUGGUGGCGGAGGUGAGGGUGGAGAUGUGGUGGUGAUGGUGACGAGGCAGUGAUGGUGACAAAAGGGUGGUGCAGACACCCUGACAAGUUCUACUGUUCUACCUUGUUGGGUGGCACAAACAAGACCACAAAGAAAAUGAGUGUUCAUUUUAUAGGUGGAUCUAAUGGUUAUAAAAAUUGAUAUAAAGGUAAUAGAGCAUAUGUUAAAUUGAUA